rnacentral:rRNA from 1 species
UACGAAGGGGGCUAGCGUUGCUCGGAAUCACUGGGCGUAAAGCGCACGUAGGCGGAUUGUUAAGUCAGGGGUGAAAUCCUGGAGCUCAACUCCAGAACUGCCUUUGAUACUGGCGAUCUUGAGUCCGAGAGAGGUGAGUGGAACUGCGAGUGUAGAGGUGAAAUUCGUAGAUAUUCGCAAGAACACCAGUGGCGAAGGCGGCUCACUGGCCCGGUACUGACGCUGAGGUGCGAAAGCGUGGGGAGCAAACAGG